rnacentral:rRNA from 1 species
GCUAGGAAUCUUGCGCAAUGGGCGAAAGCCUGACGCAGCAACGCCGCGUGGGGGAUGAAGGCUCUUGGGUCGUAAACCCCUUUUGCAGGGGAAGCAACUGACGGUACCCUGCGAAUAAGCCACGGCUAACUACGUGCCAGCAGCCGCGGUAAUACGUAGGUGGCAAGCGUUGUCCGGAUUUACUGGGCGUAAAGCGCGCGCAGGUGGCCCGUCAAGUCUGGGGUGAAAGCUCCCGGCUCAACCGGGAGAGGUCUCUGGAAACUGACGGGCUUGAGGAGAGCAGAGGAGAGUGGAAUUUCCGGUGUAGCGGUGAUAUGCGUAGAUAUCGGAAGGAACACCAGUGGCGAAGGCGGCUCUCUGGGCUCUUCCUGACGCUGAGGCGCGAAAGCGUGGGGAGCGAACCGG